rnacentral:rRNA from 1 species
GACGAACGCUGGCGGCGUGCUUAACACAUGCAAGUCGAACGGAAAGGCCCUGCUUUUGUGGGGUGCUCGAGUGGCGAACGGGUGAGUAACACGUGAGUAACCUGCCCUUGACUUUGGGAUAACUUCAGGAAACUGGGGCUAAUACCGGAUAGGAGCUCCUGCUGCAUGGUGGGGGUUGGAAAGUUUCGGCGGUUGGGGAUGGACUCGCGGCUUAUCAGCUUGUUGUUGGGGUAGUGGCUUACCAAGGCUUUGACGGGUAGCCGGCCUGAGAGGGUGACCGGCCACAUUGGGACUGAGAUACGGCCCAGACUCCUGCGGGAGGCAGCAGUGGGGAAUAUUGCACGAUGGGCGGAAGCCUGAUGCAGCAACGCCGCGUGCGGGAUGACGGCCUUCGGAUUGUAUACCGCUUUCGCCUGUGACGAAGCGUGAGUGACGGUAAUGGGUAGAGAAGCACCGGCUAACUACGUG